rnacentral:rRNA from 1 species
CAGUAGCCACGGUAACACGAAGGGGGCUAGCGUUGUUCGGAAUCACUGGGCGUAAAGGGUGCGUAGGCGGAUUCUUAAGUCAGGGGUGAAAUCCUGAGGCUCAACCUCGGAACUGCCUUUGAUACUGGGGAUCUUGAGUCCGGAAGAGGUGAGUGGAACUGCGAGUGUAGAGGUGAAAUUCGUAGAUAUUCGCAAGAACACCGGUGGCGAAGGCGGCUCACUGGUCCGGAACUGACGCUGAGGCACGACAGCGUGGGGCGCGAACGGGAUUAGAUACCCGGGUAGUCCCUGUCUCUUAUAC